rnacentral:tRNA from 1 species
UGGUCGGGAUCCCANAGUGUUAGAGUUCAG